AACAAGCCAAGCCCAAUAAACCAAAGGAUCAAAACCAUAUCGCAGUUUGGGCUAGGGACUACCCAAGGAACUAGGUCGUAUGCAAUGGGCUUGCAACUUUUCUUCUUAUCCCAGCUCACUGUCCAAGCCCGGCGUGUCAAAGACCCAGCUUCAAAGCAAUGCCGUUUCAAGCACAACAAAAGCUCCUUUCUUGUUCCUGAUUCUUUAAAACGCCACCGUUUUGUGACAAAACCCUAACCAGAAAACCGUUCGUUCCCUCCCUUUCCUUCCUCCUUCUUCCGGCCUCCUCUUCUCCCUAUUCUAAACUUACCUAUAUCUCUCCGCCAAUCUCACAGCCGCGGUCACAACCGUUCACUAUCGCCGAUCUACUUUCUCCUUUCUAAAAACUUACAACGCCAGAGCACUCCCAAGCUCCUAAAUCAUCCCGAGCACCUAUUGCUUGCUGCAUUGCUUGUGCUUUUUUUUUUGUUGCUUUUUUUGUUUGUUUUUGUGGUAUAAUGUCGACUGCUAGAGAAGAAAAGAAAAAGACUAGGGUUUCUCUGUCUACUUUUUCUUUUGGUUUUCUAGGGUUUUG
rnacentral:lncRNA from 1 species